rnacentral:rRNA from 1 species
UACGUAGGGUGCGAGCGUUGUCCGGAAUUAUUGGGCGUAAAGAGCUUGUAGGCGGUUUGUCGCGUCUGCCGUGAAAAUUCGAGGCUCAACCUCGAACUUGCGGUGGGUAGCGGGCAGACUAGAGUGUGGUAGGGGGAGACUGGAAUUCCUGGUGUAGCGGUGAAAUGCGCAGAUAUCAGGAGGAACACCGAUGGCGAAGGCAGGUCUCUGGGCCACUACUGACGCUGAGAAGCGAAAGCAUGGGGAGCGAACAGG